rnacentral:rRNA from 1 species
AGUGAACGCUGGCGGUAGGCCUAACACAUGCAAGUCGAACGGCAGCACAGUAAGAGCUUGCUCUUACGGGUGGCGAGUGGCGGACGGGUGAGGCAUACAUCGGAAUCUACUUUUUCGUGGGGGAUAACGUAGGGAAACUUACGCUAAUACCGCAUACGACCUACGGGUGAAAGCAGGGGAUCUUCGGACCUUUCGCGAUUGAAUGAGCCGAUGUCGGAUCAGCUAGUUGGCGGGGUAAAGGCCCACCAAGGCGACGAUCCGUAGCUGGUCUGAGAGGAUGAUCAGCCACACUGGAACUGAGACACGGUCCAGACUCCUACGGGAGGCAGCAGUGGGGAAUAUUGGACAAUGGGCGCAAGCCUGAUCCAGCCAUACCGCGUGGGUGAAGAAGGCCUUCGGGUUGUAAAGCCCUUUUGUUAGGAAAGAAAAGCAGCAGGUUAAUACCCCGCUGUUCUGACGGUACCCAAAGAAUAAGCACCGGCUAACUUCGUG